rnacentral:lncRNA from 1 species
CAUGAGCAACAGAGUUGACAAGACUGGAGAAUUGAUCGAUCGACGGAUAUGAUCAUGAGAAACUUUCUGCUCCAGGUCAGUCUUAUCCGUAAGCACUGAGUAAUACCUUGCGAAUUUGUGUCGAAUUCAUACACGCUUUUGAAGAAAAAGGUUGGACCCAAACAUCGCUGUUUGAACAUUAAUCAUGAACGGGUAUGUAGUCUUCACAGUACCCGUUCUCUAACGUACGUACCCCCACACAGAAGUUUUACCAUCAUACUAGCCGUGCUUUGAACGGCAUCGCGAAUGAUACCACCAGUUGUUCACACCCGGUUUUUGACCAGAGUCAACCGAAGAAGAUAAGGUUCUAAUAACUGAUGAAAGAGAGAAUAGCCGACGAAGAAGAGAGAAAGAGUCUGUUGAUAACCUAGCGUUGACAAAUGCCAAGCCAUAGAUGACCGGAUUCUAGAAGCCGAUAGAAGAUCGGGAUGAUCCAAUCCGAAGCAAAAUCGACUCCACCAAAUAAGGGAAAACGUGAAGAUUUAUCUUUAGUAGUUUUAGAUUCGCUUGUAACGGUUAAUGUCGUAACCGACUAGGAUUUUAACUUGCUUCAAGAUAUAAAUAUAAACCCAUGAGCCUUGUAACAAGAAUAAUCAUCGAUCAAUCAAUAUAAUAUUUUGGCAUCACGCCGCCAACAAGAAUAAUCAUCGAUCAAUCAAUAUAACAUUUUGGCAUCACGCCGCUAAAACCCUAGUAGUAGGAGUAGAGUAGGAACCGACGAGUUUCUUCUUGCGCGCAGGGCUGCAUCAGCUUCGAUCUCAAGCCUUGGUCAUUACGUUACCUGUAUCAAAAUUUUAUAAGCAUCGUCCAAUAUUCUGAUCUUUUAUCGUGUGGCUAGUUAUCGAGUUAACUUAGAUUGCAAGUAGAACUUUUUAAGUUUUAUCCAAUAUUCUAUUUGUCUUCGACGUUGCUCACAGUUUUUGAGUUGUUUGGUUUUAUUAAGUUGUAUCACUCUUAGUUUUAUCAAACGCUCACAGUUAUCAAACGGUUUAGAUCUGAUUAGGUUGUAUUUAUUGGCUCCUUGAUCUUAUUUAAGCGUUCACCAGUUAUCUGAUCGUAUUGUCUGGUUAGAUCUUGCACGCUUUACUUGCUUUACAUAUGCUAGGUCCGAUAGAUCUUUACUCCUGCCCCUCGUAUUACUAGCCAUCGGAUCCUUAACAUCAUAACGCUACUAUUGAGAGCUGAUACAUCGGCUGGGUAUCAUCUAUAUCUCACAAAAGUGUGAUGACGUCAUUGAGCUAGUAGGUGCGCGUAUGAGGCCUUGAUGUCUGUUAAGUUACUCAUUCGUAUUACCCUGUCUAAAUUCAAUAUAAAAUGACAUUGAUUAGAUCCAUUAGCUUAAUCAGCUUGUAAGUGAUAGGCAAGAGGUUCUUGUUACCAUGCUCUAAUCUUUUAGAUUAACAGAUUGAUGUUGAUGCCCUCUCAUACGUGUUACCUUGUCUAAGUUCAAUACAUGUAUCAUGACAUUAAUUUAGAUCUGUUAGUUUAUCUGAUGCGUGCAUGGCUGGCAAGUGCUCCUUUUAUGGAUGUUAUUUUACAAUGCUUUAUCUUAGCCCGUCGGCUCAUAUAGCUGAUGGCACAUGCUAUUAAUGCUCUUGUUUAUUUACACGGCAUGAUUACAUUGAAAACCUAUAUGUUGUGGUGCUUAUUCCAAUAACGCCUACCCAUAAGUUCGAAAGGCUUCGCUGCUGAUUGGCUCAGGAAUUUAAUAUUUAUCUUGUCAAUUUCAGGUCAAAUUGACUAUCACGUCUUGCACCAUUCGCGAACCGAUUUGAACGCGAACCGAUUUGAAGCCUAUACUGAGGUUAAGCAGAUCUCUCAGAUCUUCCGUAUUGUUCAACGCAGAAGCCCGAGUCCAGAUUUUGGAUCAACACGAGUCAGGACACGGUAAUAAAAAGUCCAAACGCAGCAAUUCUUCGAUGCCCGUCCGGACGUGCAUGACUGGUUGGCGAGAGGUCGCUCUUCUGGAUCGACGUUAACCGUCGGUAAUUUCUAGCUUUUUGCAAGCCCAUUUCUAUCACUGACGCGGAGAGGGUACGCAUCCUAUCCUCUCCGGCUCUGCAGCCAGUAGGAGUCACUGUCUUUUGGAGAUGCCGUCAGAUAUGGUGUGCUCAGCUGCUUACUUAAGUUUGAUGGCUGCCCGUUGACGCCGCGCAAGUCCUCCUGUCAGUUUCACUUUGGGACCGAGGGUGACAGUGACUCAUGAUGCUUGCCCCUGAUGACUGUUACGUUUCUAUGUAUU